CCUACGGGUGGCUGCAGUGGGGAAUAUUGCACAAUGGGGGAAACCCUGAUGCAGCGACGCCGCGUGAGCGAUGAAGUAUUUCGGUAUGUAAAGCUCUAUCAGCAGGGACGAAGAUUACGGUACCUGCCUAAGACGCCCCGGCUAACUACGUGCCAGCCGCCGCGGUAAUACGUAGGGGGCAAGCGUUAUCCGGAUUUACUGGGUGUAACGGGAGCGUAGACGGCGAUGAAAGCAAGAUGUGAAAGCCCGGGGCUCAACCCCGGGACUGCAUUUGGAACUGGGUGGCUGGGGUGGCGGAGAGGCAGGCGGAAUGCCCAGUGUAGCGGUGAAAUGCGUAGAUAUUAGGAGGAACACCAGUGGCGAAGGCGGCCUGCUGGACGAUGACUGACGUUGAGGCUCGAAAGCGUGGGGAGCAAACAGGAUUAGAUACCCCAGUAGUC
rnacentral:rRNA from 1 species